UACGUAGGGGGCUAGCGUUGUCCGGAUUUAUUGGCGUAAAGAGCGUGUAGGCGGCCAGGUAGGUCCGUUGUGAAAACUCGAGGCUCAACCUCGAGACGUCGGCGGAAACCCUCUGGCUAGAGUCCGGAAGAGGAGAGUGGAAUUCCUGGUGUAGCGGUGAAAUGCGCAGAUAUCAGGAAGAACACCCGUGGCGGAAGGCGGCGCUCUGGGACGGUACUGACGCUGAGACGCGAAAGCGUGGGGAGCAAACAGG
rnacentral:rRNA from 1 species